CCGACCUUAGCUCAGUUGGUAGAGCGGAGGACUGUAGUGGGUUAUAACUCAAAGUGAUCCUUAGGUCGCUGGUUCGAAUCCGGUCGGA
rnacentral:tRNA from 1 species